CGCGAAAGGGGCUUCGGCCCUGAGUAGAGCGGCGAACGGGUGAGUAACACGUGGGUAACCUGCCUGGGAGUGGGGGAUAACCUGGGGAAACUCGGGCUAAUACCGCAUACGUUCCCGGGGCUUCGGCUCCGGGAGGAAAGAUGGCCUCUGCUUGCACGCCAUCUCUCCCAGAGGGGCCCGCGGCUGAUUAGCUUGUUGGUGGGGUAACGGCCCACCAAGGCGACGAUCAGUAGCCGGCCUGAGAGGGUGAUCGGCCACACUGGAACUGAGACACGGUCCAGACUUCUACGGGAGGCAGCAGUGGGGAAUAUUGGACAAUGGGGGAAACCCUGAUCCAGCAACGCCGCGUGGGGGAUGAAGGUCUUCGGAUUGUAAACCCCUGUUGGGAGGGACGAAGGCUUGCGGGCGAAUAGUCCGUACGCUUGAAGGUACCUGAAGAAUAAGCAUCGGCUAACUCCGUGCCAGCAGCCGCGGUAAUACGGAGGAUGCAAGCGUUAUCCGGAUUCAUUGGGUUUAAAGGGUGCGCAGGCGGAUUGGUAAGUCAGGGGUGAAAUCCCACAGCUCAACUGUGGAACUGCCUUUGAUACUGUCAGUCUAGAGUAUAGUUGAAGUUGGCGGAAUGUGUCAUGUAGCGGUGAAAUGCUUAGAUAUGACACAGAACACCGAUCGCGAAGGCAGCUAGCUAAGCUAUAACUGACGCUCAUGCACGAAAGCGUGGGGAUCAAACAGGAUUAGAUACCCUGGUAGUCCACGCUGUAAACGAUGAUUACUCGAUGUUGGCGAUACACAGUCAGCGUCUGA
rnacentral:rRNA from 1 species